rnacentral:tRNA from 3 species
GCAUUGCUAGCUCAGUAGGCCAGAGCACCCUGCUCAUAACGGGGAGGUCGUUGGUUCGAUUCCAGCGCAAUGCACGA